UACGUAGGGGGCAAGCGUUGUCCGGAUUUAUUGGGCGUAAAGAGCGUGUAGGCGGCUUUGCAAGUCCGUUGUGAAAACUCGAGGCUCAACCUCGAGACGCCGGUGGAAACUGCAAAGCUAGAGUCCGGAAGAGGAGAGUGGAAUUCCUGGUGUAGCGGUGAAAUGCGCAGAUAUCAAGAGGAACACCUGAGGCGAAGGCGGGUUGCUGGGCCGACACUGACGCUGAGGCGCGAAAGCCAGGGGAGCAAACGGG
rnacentral:rRNA from 1 species